CCCAAAGAAAAAAACAAAUGUUACCCAAUAGGCAAACAAUGCUGAGAGUUCACUUCCUCUAACUCUGUAGUUAAGUUACUCACUCAGUAUAACAUCACCCUCCUGCCAGGGGUUGAAGUCAGGAAGUAGUUUAUUUUCGCUGAAACUGAAGGGGGAAGUUAAAGAGAAAAAUAGCUGCAACUUGGUCAAUUCAGGAAAACCAGGUACGAAAAAAGAGGAGCAAGUUAAAGGGAAAGCCAGCUCGGAUUUGCUCACCAGUAAAAGGCAAAAAUCCCAGUGUUAUUCAUCUGCAUUUGGUGUGAAAGACAAAAGCUCAACUGGGAUCUGAGGCUUUCUGUGUCAGAGGGCAAGGAGUCAAUGGGGUUAUGAGGAAGUAAGACCACUUGAGACAUCAAAGAAAAGUAGAUCAAAUCACUAGACUCCUCCAAACAGGAGUGGGUGAAGACAAAAAGUGGAGAGAAUCCAGAGGGAAGAGAGGAGUAGGGAAAAUGGUGGAAAGGGAAGGUUUUUGAGAUGGAAGGCAGAGAAUGGGAACAAAAGAAGAAAAAGCUGUUUGUUUCAAAUCAAUAUUCUCCAAGAGGAUGUCUUGUUUCCCCAGGGAUAUUCUGAGGGACUCACAGGAUCAGAGCUGCGACACUUCUAACAUAUGAAUUCUCUCAAUUCUGAUGCCCUUUGACCUCUGCCACACAAUGCCAAGACAAACCCAGACCCCAGGCCCUGGAAACAGAGGAGGGGCAGGACGUGAUAGAGCUUCAGCAACAUGGAGAGGAGAUAGCCGGUCUGGCUAGGAUGGAAGAAAUGUACAUGGAGAAGAAAGACAGAAGAACCAUCACUGAGCACUAAACUAAUCAGCCAUAAUGUGCAGAUUGACUGGCAAGCCUAUCACCACCUUGAUAACAGAUGACAUUAAAGAGAAAGUAUCAAUGUGAGGAUUAAAUGGGAUGAAAAAUAAAACAUCUGUCGGAGUGCCUGGAAUAUGAGCCUAGUAGAGCACCCAGCACACAGUAGGCUCUUAAUACAUGCUUGGGAUGAUUGAGGCAUUUUCUUCCACCAUAUUCCAUGAUCUUCUAGCCCUGGGGGUGCAGAGAGAUUACCUGGCCAAGAAGACUAGGGGUAAAGUACUUUUCUUACCUGGUAAGUGGUUUGGGAGUUAGGAAAACAUGAUGUCUGGCCAACCCCUUUCCUAAAGGAGUUUAUGUAUCCCAAUGCCCCACCCACCACCCGCCUCCACCACACACCCAGCGUUUGUUGCUUGUAAUGGGUCAAUACAUCAAUGAAUUGAUGAAUUGUAAAGGAAAAAAAAUACAUGCUUGGAAAAUGAAUUUAACUAAACAAGAUUGAAUGUAGCCCAGCUCUUUACUCACAGAGCUUGAAGGCUCAACUCGCCACAACCCCCUGGGGAGAGAGGAAAGACAUGGCAUUAGUUCCAGCGCUGUUAGUGCUAGCUAUUGCAACAUCAGAAGUAUCAAAAUUCAACUGUCUGGUGCCAAUGGCAAAACCAAUGCUUACCAAAUACAUUAUAAUAAUAAAUAUAACUUUAUAGGUCUCACAGAUUUAUUUAUGUCUGCAACUCUAAACCUGCUCCCAGCCCCCAGUCUCCAGAAACCAAGCUAGCUGGCCUUUUGGAGAUGAAAAUAGCAUCAGGCAUCAAGGGUGUGCAUUUAUGAGCAGGACAGGAGGGUGGACUAGCACCUGAACCUUAAUGCAUUCCUUAAAAGUUUUCAAUGGGAGCAUGAGUCAGGGGUGCCACCUGGAGAGAACCGUUCUCAGUAAAAGAAGGACAAUGUUUACCUUCAACUACCCAAUUUUUUGCUUCCAGGAGAUGUAACACACAGAUUGCCUGUAACCAUGGCAAUCAGCUCAGCUGUGAGCACCCUCAUUUAUUCAAAGCACAGAGGCAGUAUAAGAGAGAAAAUACUAUUACAAAUAGGAACAAUAAGAUUUAAUGUCAGAUGCCAAAAUAUGAUUGGUUCAGUAUUUGAUUCCCAGCCAUAUGAAGCACAUUACACUUUCUUGGUUUCAUCUGCUCUUUCCUGAUCCUCAAGGGUAAUAUUAAUUUCAAUUUCUUCCAGAAACAAUGAUUGACUUGUUUCUAGCACUAUCUUGGGAGUGAAAUAAAAAUUUUGGAAAAAUACAUUCUCAGCAAUGCACUGUGUGCAACAGAGUUGAGAUAACCAUGCCAAAAACUAUAAGGAAAUGUCAACAUACACUUAAAAAAAUAACUUUUGAUGGAGUUUUUUUAGGGAGGUAUUCAACUUCUCGUGAAUAAGUAAUAAAGGAUGUAUACUAUAUACUGUAUUUACUGGUUCUUCUCCCUAAUUUCAGUCUCUUUACACUCCUGGAAGAAAAAAAGUAUUAUGGAGGCUACUUUACAAUCUUCUAAAAUAGAGUAACAGAAAACCUGUUCUUGAUUUUCAAGGAAAUUACUUAUAACUCAUCAAGUUACUAAACUUCAGUUAUUGCAAAAUUUAUUAACUGUAUCCUGAGAUUUCCACUGAUAAAACUCAACUAAUGUAUUUCACAGGUACACAAAUAUCCAAGAUUGGAAAGAAGAAAGAAAAUGACGACAGAAUUUUGCAGUCUACAAGGCAAACACUGCCAUUCAUGUAGUUAUGGAGUUCCUACUAUGUGCAGACAAUGGGAAACUUUACGAAGGAACCUCGACGUAGCCUGUUCCCAAUGCCCUCUGUGGAAUCAGCCAGGUCCAUGCCACAAGUAUGAAUUGUUUCCAGUGCGGCAGUCCUGGGAGUGCCUGAGCCACAAGCCAGUGUCCCCUACUCAGUUGUGCCCUGUGGGGACUGAAGCAGGACUAUAUUCUCACAGGCUCUCCUAAAAGCUGGGCUGCCAGCUUCUAGCUCUACUCCUUUCUCAAAGUGGCCCAGGCCAUCUCUCAGACCAAGGGUAAAUGCUAUGCCAGUUCCACCUGUUGUCUUUGUGUGCAUAAAUCUCAUUCUUUGUGCUUUAUCUCAAAAAAAAAAUCAACUCAUAGGAUUAUAAUCUCCUGAAGAGAUUCCACAGCCCACCAGUCCUACAAAGUCAGACAUAGAGGGCCAGUUUAGGCAUAUAUAUAUAUACACACACACACACACACACACACACAUUUAUAUAUAAACAUAUAUAUGUAAACUCUACAUGUGUGUGCAUAUAUAUAUACAUACACAUAUAGAGAGAGUUUAUGUUUAUAUAUACAUAUAAAUUAUAUAUAGAAUUUCUAUAGAAAUACAAACUAUAUAUAGAAUUUAUAUAGACAUAUAUAAAUGAUAUGUCUAUAUAAACAUAUAUAUGAACUCUGUCUCUCUCUAUAUAUAUAUAUUUUAUAUAUAUAUUAUAUAUAUAUAUUUUAUAUAUAUGUAUUUUAUAUAUAUAUAUAUAAAACUCAUGUUAUAUAUGACAAAUCCCAUAUAUAAUAAAUCAGUGGUGGGGUAUGGUAAUUCAAAAAAAUGAAUAUGGUUUCAGAUGGAAAUUAAUUUAUAUGGCCAAGACUGUUAAUUAGGCUUUUGUUGCCUUUAACCUAAGAGUAAGGCCAGCAUCUGUGGUUAUGAGCAAAUACUUAAGGCUAUGGUAGCUGCAAACACUUGCAGCCCUGGGUCGAAGGACAAAGGCUAGAAUAAAUUCCCUACCAAACGCUCAGAAGUGAUAUUAUGCAAAGAAGAUGUAUAUUUUAAUAAAUAUUUGUGGAAUGCCUAUUACUUGCCAGGAACUAAGGACACAAAAGGAAUUAAAGCACCAGGUCAGUCCCAAAACAGCAUGAAAUUUGCACCCAGGCAGAUCUGGGUUCAAGCCCUAGUUCUGUCCCUUGCUAUUGCUUCUUCUAUGACCUUAAGAAUCUUCAAGAUGGAGUUCUCAAGAGGCACAAGUAUGACAGUGUACAUGGAAUUACUUGCCAUUAGCACAGAUGUUUGUCGUGUAUUCAUUUAUGAGUAAAUAAUUAUUGAGUGACAACUAUAUCCCAGGCAUUGUUCCAAGAAUUAGAGUUACAGCAGUAGACAAGAAAGAAUGUCUCAUAAUAAUGAAAUGAAGCUAACUUUAUUACAUUUAUAUCACAGUGAAAUCAACCAGGUCAAAGGAAAUGAUUCUUACCCUGUGUCACUCCAAAAGAUCUUAUCCAAAAUAAAAUGAUGUAUUUUUUAAUUUCCAAAAAUAGAUUAAAUUAAGUUGAGGUCUCUACCUGUACAGUGGCAGGAGAGAUGAAUCAGCACCUUAACAAUUUAUUUUGCUCACCUCCUCCUUCAUUCUGUUCUCUACUCUUUCCCUCAAUUGGUAGUUUUUGUCCCUGGAUGGCCUCUCCUCACACUUUUGUGUGGACAGACAUGAAUGUUCAGUUUUGUGUGUAGUGUGUGUGUGUGUGUGAGAGAGAGAGAGAGAGAGAAAGAUAACUGAGAGUGUGCACGUGUGUCUGCAAGAACAAUGGUAGAAAUCCAUGAUCCUUUGAAGAAAUUUAACCUGGGUUAAUUACUCAAAAUCCUUAUAUUCAGAACCUUCCAUAUUGAAGCUUCCCUGAUCUUUCUCUGCUCCAAUAGCUCAUAGCAAUGCCUGAAUGCUUUGUUUCUUAAAGAGGAGUUUAUAUUUAUAGAGAAGUUGUAAAGAGUCUCCAUAUACCUGCACCUAAUUCCCCUGUUAUCAGGAAUUUGCACUAGUAUGGCACAUUUGUUAUCAUUAAUGAACCAAAACGGAUAUUAUUAUUGGCUAAAGUUCAUGCUUCAUCUAGGUUUCCCAACUUCCCUGAGGUCCUUUUCUUGUGCCAGAAUCCCAUCCAGGAGACCACAUUACAUUUAGUCCUCAUGACUCUUAGACUCUUCUUCUUGGCUGUGAUAGUUUCUCAAACUUUUCUUGAUUUUGAUGACCCUGACAGUUUGAGAAGUAUUGGUCAGAAAUUUUUGUAGAAUGUCUACUGGUUGGAAUUUGUCUGGGGUUUUUCUCAUGAUGAAACUGAGGUCAUGGGUUUUUGGGAGGAAGACCACAGAGGCAAAGUGCCAUUCUCUUCCCAUCAUACCAAAGGUACAGGCUAUCAACAUGACUAACUUAUCAUUAUUGAUUUUUACCAUGAACACCAGGCUGAGAUAGUCUGAACAUCCUUUUUAACAGAGAUUUUUACCAAUUAUUAUAUUUGUAUUCCCAAACUGCUUCAAAGAUAUUUAUCAAGAAAUCUCAAAAUAGCCUCUUAUUUUUACCUAAAAUUCAUUCAUCCCUUAAUUUUCACUGAGAAAAUAUAUUGAGUCUACUAUCAAAUGCCAGGCACUGAGGAUACAGGCAUAAAUAAAACAUGUUCCUACUUUCAAGAGCUCAUGGCCCAGUCUAAUGCAAGAGAGACUUGUAAAAAUGUAAAGAAGGAUCCAAUGAGUUAAGGGACACUGUUUAAGGAAUAAAAGGAACCCUGAGAGGUAUAGUUAUCAUUUCCGUGAGGAGCUAGGAGGAGGGAAAAUCUCCUUCCUAGAGAAAGGGACUCCUAAGCUGAUCUUGAAAGGUACAUAGGAUUCUGCCAAGCAGAAGAGAAAUCAUGUGCAAAGCAGGUGUGUGUUCAUGAAAGCUGGUUUUAGAGAAGUGGCGGGGAAGGAGGAUGAAGUGGUAGGUAGAGAUCGUGGAGAGCCCAGUUUGCAUUUUGAAUUGUGUGGCUCUCAGGCUGCUAGAGUCAAAGUAUUAGAAGGUAAAGGCAGGCUUCUAGCAGGUUCCACAUCUGAAGCAGGAGUAAUAGUUGGUCAAGUAGUCUUCCCUGAAGGCUUGGAGACAGGGCACUAGAGUAGCACACCUCUAUACACAGAUAGGAUCUGUGCCUCAGCUCUGGCACAGAUUUCUCUCUCUCUCUCUCUCUAACACACACACACACACGCACACGCACACACACAAACAUACACACACACAGAGGGAGAGACAUAUUUGCCACAUAUCCAUUCUCUAAGAGCUGCCAACCCAGACUGACAAAUCUUUAGAAUUUACUACUUUGUCUCUUUUUUCUACACCUUGGCAGUGGAUGGAGCAGCAUCAGCCAUGGCUCAGGAAUGCAGCCGCCUACUUUCCUGUUAUCAGCAGGCAUUCCUGUGGUUACACUAUUCCUGCUUAGCUUAUCAAUGGCCCUUGGGAACACAGAGUCAGCACCCAAAGAGGGCCAGAACAGCCUGCUUGUUGGACGCCCAUCCACACCAUGAGGCUUUCCUGGAUGUAGAGGGAAGUUACUGUUCCUCGGGAAAACCCCUCUUCCCAGCUGGUAUGAAUGCUUUAGCUUAAGAAUCUGCCUCAUGUGUUUCAUACUCAGAGACACGACCCCCUAAUCUUUAUGUGUGAAAACUUCCCGUUGAUACCAAAAGGAGCUUUUCCUAGGAUAUCACUGACCCAGGGUAAGACACAGUGAGUGAAGUCUGUGCAUUUUGUUAGAAGAUUAAAUAUCCAUUAUAUCCCCCCAUAUUCUUCCUCACCCCAACAUAUCUCUUUGUCUCCAAGUUUUAGAACUUCUAGAAUAUAAAAUAUAAUGUAUGAUAUAUAGUCAUAUAACAUCUAGUAUUCCCUCAAUAGCAUUCCAUCAUCAGAAUAAAGUACAAAAUCUGCCAUCCAUCAUGAGAGACCUUUUAGGAUCAGGAUGCUGCCCUGCUCUCUAGCCUCAUCUGUCCUCACUACCUGCUUGGCCAUUGAUGCUCCAUCUUCCUGAACUACACCCCAGAAACUCAGCAAUCAGGCCAUGUUCUCUCUUAUAGCAUUGCUUUUGACAUGCUGGUCUCUCUGCUUGGGUUCCUUUCUUUUUGGGAUUUUUCCAUCCAUCUUUGUCUGGCUAACUCCUGAUCUGCCUGCACCAUCUUUCGGAACUUUGAGAUGGGUGCCCCUCAUUUGUGCUAUCUUUGCUUAUUCUUGAAGCACCUUAGGCUUCCUCUCUCAUGACGUAUCUAAGUGGCCUGCAGUGGUCUACCUCUUCAACCUCACUCCCUGGGACCAUAUCUUAUUGCAGAGGGAUGUGACUGAGUGCAGCAGGCCAGUCAUCCUUCUGCUCUACCAUGCACAGGGCAUGGCCGUUUCUUCCUCGUGCUUGCUACCCCAUGAUUGCAAGAUGGUUGCUGUACUUCAAAGAAUCACAUCCUCACUUCAGGGUCUCAAGCAGGAAGGAAGGGGGCUAUGUUUUCUUUUUAAUCAAGGAGGAAAAAAGAAGCCCCAGGAAGAAUUCCUCUAUGCCAUAUUGGCCAGAACUGAGUCAUAUGGCCAUGUCUUGCUGAAAAGAAGGCUAAAUAGCAAGUAUCUGGCAAAGCAGAAAGAAUUGUCACAAUGGGUUGGAUCAUGAUUCAUGAGCUGGUACAUAGCCCACUGAGGCAAACUCGGGAUUUUGUUAGGCAGAAAGAGGUUAUAGCUUUUGACCUGUCAAGUAAUAGUAUCUACCACAUUGAAUUCCACUUUAGAAAACAUAGAUACAAAACACACUCCUGAAGAUUGCACCAACAGGAGGCAAAAUUUAAGGAGCAAGAGAAACUAUACAUGUAAGUGAUAAAAUAGUAAUAUUUAUCUGUUGGGACUCAAAUAGGUGUUUUGUCCCAGAAUUAUCUCAAUUCAUCAAGACUUCUUUGAAACUCCUUGCCCAUGCUUAGCCAUUUAUUCUAGGUAGAACAGUAAACGAAUCUCCAUUCUUAGAAAAGGUGGGCCUAGCUUCAUAGAACCGCACACAGCCCUAUUAUGUAAUAUAGCUUGGAAACUGUAUGAGCUAGUAAGUUUGAUUUGAUAUGUUUGAAAGUUUGGCAAAGCCUUAGUGAUAGGUUUGGGCAAAAAAAAGAUGAAACUCCAUAAUUAUUGUUUCCAUUAGCUAAAUCCAUCAGCUGCAGAUUUGGAGAAUACUUGUUUCAGGUAUUUGGUGAGCGACUCUCUUCUCUGAAGGUAUUCAAUCCCAAAGUGCACAUCAAAUCAUUUCCACUAAAACGCAUAAAGGUCUUGGUCAAAUGUGACUCAUGUGUAUUUAUCUUAUCCUUUUGCUGAAAUGAUUUCACCCAAACUUAAAAUAGAUAGAGGUUAGUUGACUCAGAAAAUUAGUGCACAGGAUGAAUAAAGAUAGUAUCAUGAGCUGGACAUCCAUCAGGUCAAUGCAUACUGCUCACUGAUAGCUUCCCCACCAACCUCUGUACUAUACCAUCACUGUUUUGCUAUCCUUCAUCCAUCUGCUAUGGAUGUAUCAUUUUUUGGUCCUCAGGCUAACAAUUUUCAUAGGAUUUAGGAUAGAAGUCAAAAUCGGAGUGUGCCAGAAAGUGAGGAUUAAAGGACGCAGGUCUCCAGGAUUUGUUCUCUCAUGGAAAGAACCCAAAAACCUGUCUCUGAAUUUGCUUCUUCCCUGCAAAGUAAAACAGGAUCAGGCCCUGGUCCCAGUUAGGAAUAUGUGCCCCCUCUAUCCCCUAUCCCCUUAGAAGCCAAGUGGGAACCAGAAAGAGGCAGUGGGAAAGGAGGAACCUGGGACAGCUUCCAGUCUAAGUAGGUGUUUGGGGAUUCUCCACGAGGUCCAGGUUAGAUCCCCAAGGAAAUGCACAGAACUACUGGUCAAAGACACAGAUAAUAGUAAAGUGCUUGUGUUUGCCACACAUUCUCUUCUGUGCAUAUGUAUUCCUUGGAGGUUUUUCAGGGAAGUGUGGUAGGCCAAGGAUGGGAUCUGAGAGUUUCUAGAUCACCUAACUAAUUACCAUUUCCUACUUUUUCAACCAUUUAUUUCCAGCUCGUUCCUCCUACAAAGCCAGUAAUCUGGCGCUGUAUACCCUUGAUUAUAGCAGGGAAAGACUACAAAGCAUUCUGAUGUAAAGACACAUGCACAGAUAAUGUAGUAAAAAGAAUAUAGAUUAGCAACACAUAGGUCUGGGUUUAAAUCUCAGUACAGCUGCUUUUUCAUUCUGUGACCUUGGGUAAUUUAUAUAUUAGCCUCUCUGAGCCUCAGUUCCCUUACUGAGUCAGUAACACUUACCUCAGGGAGUUAGUAUGAGGAUUAAAUGUAUAAAUGAAAUAAUUAACCACUUAUAAAAUGUGCCAGACAUCUAAUGUGUGUUCAACAAGUCUUAAUCUCUUAAGUGAACAUUCUUACUAGAAAACUAACUCACAACUCUAUUGAUGGUAAGCAAUAGAAAGGUAUUCCUAUAAAAAGACACUCAUCUUAUUUAUACAUAAACAAUAGGAAAAGAUGGCGACAAUGACCUUGCAUUUCUAGGCUAGUUUUGUCACCAUAAUAUAAAUUAAUUGAAACAGACAAACUACAUUAACCAAGUAUUUAUUGUUUUUAUUUCAGGGUUUUAAAAAGCAGCAGGUUUAAGAGCUGACCAUAUCUGAAAGACUCUAGAAUAGCAGAGGAUUGAUUAAAGGUCUGUGGCCACAGAUUGGAUGUGUUGAUUUUAUUUCCCCAAAGGUAUCCACAUAGCAACUUGGCAGUACACACAUAUCCCAAAUAUAUGUACACAGUGUUUACAGAAAAUACUAAUUGUACCCUUACCUAAAAUGUUAGGUCCCAUUUUCAUUUUAAAGACUCAUUAUGCUUUUCAUGAACUAACACUUUUGUUCAUUUCAAUUCUGUCAUGAAUUCGAAAGAAGGACACAGCAAAUAGGUACUUAACUAAAGUAAGUGCUUUCUCCCAUGGUUUUAUCAAUCCAAGUCUAUGGACAUAAUACAGAAUCAAGAAUCCAAGGAAACUGCUCUGAAUUUCACUGUAAGCAUAGCUCAUUUUUUUGACCUGUUGAUUGCAGUUAAUUUAACGUCACGACCUGCACCUCAGAAUCUCUCAUGUCCCCUGCAGCUUUGUCAAGAUGCUUUGUAUAUAGCUGGUACCCAGAGAAGGUUUGCCACAUUGCACGGAGUUGAUCACCCAUUUUAUUCACUGGAUUUGGCUUUGAGCAACUUACACUUUUUUCUCUCCAAAAAUUAAGUCCACCCACGAAGGAAAAAGGCAGAAGGAUGCUGUGGCAAAAAUGCUAUCCUGGAAAACAGAUCUUGGCCCUGGUCCCAGCUCUCUGUGACUUUGGACACAUCAGUUGAUCUUUUUAGAUCAAAUUUCCCCAUAAAAGGGGGUACUAGACAAGAUGCAUGUGCCAGACUGCCAAGGCCAAGGCACACCCUAAGCCACUCAUAGUAAUAUCCCUGGAACUGUAGACCCUUGCAGAGAGAUUAUAGAAGUGAUUUUGAAUAAUUAUUGAGUUAAGUGCUAGCAUUCCAGCAUGACCGCUUCAAAAGAGGUAAUGCAUAUUUUUUUUUGUAUUUUUUUGGCUUUUUUUAAAGUUACAUUACUUUAGUGUUAUAUGUCAUAUAGUCAUUAGGAAUUCCAAGAGAGCAAAUGUCAACAAAGGUCUGAAGUUGUUUGGCAUUUUAUCAAUCAUUAUUUAGAGUUUUCUUUUUUUCUUUUUUUUUUCUUAAUGUGGUUAGGGACACAGAGGUUCAUGUGAUGUAAUAAGAAAGAAAUAAAGGAAGCUUUAUCUGCCGCUCUUUCAACCUCAUCCACUCAACACUUACCCCGUGACAGACCCCAAUACUCUUAAUGAAUUCCCAAGGUUACGAAAGAACUUGGAAGAUCUUACAUUCCUACAUGGUGAUUACAGAGGCUCACAUUUUGCCAAGUCAUAUGCAGGUGGCUGAAAAGUAAGUUUACUUUAUCUGCAUUUCAUAUUACACUUGUUCUUUCUUAUGAAUGUUUCUUUCAUAGUCAUGCAAAGUACUCAAUCAGUAAUUCCCCACCAAAAUGGUUGUUACAUAAGCGGCCGUGCAACAAUGCAUAUGUCAGCUCAGAUUCAUGUCAGAGAAAGUUCUCUAGUUUAUAUAACUCACUCCCCAGCAGCCAGUACACAGUUCAAAAAGUGUGGGCCUUUACAUUAUGGCGGGAGGGAGGUUAUUUUGUUUUGUUUGUUUUUUUUUAACACAUCACAUAAAUACACUUCCUUUCUCCUUUGUAACGUAUGGGAUACAUGGAAUUCCUAACUCACACAGAUCUCACUGUAGACCCAAUGAAUGGCACGGAGCCGACACAAACACCCACACACUUGUCUCAGUUACAGAUCUCUGCUAAAGACCAGAAGUUGGCCAUUACUAUGAAUAUACACUUCUGUUGGAUUUCUAUGGUAUUUGGUUUCAUUAGAUUGUAUGUUAAGUUAAAUAUGUUUUUUAAAGUUUCAUUCUCCUACCUCAAGUUACGGUGCAUCAAGGGGUCUCAGAGAGAAGUGGAGCUGCCACCUCAAUGUCCCGACCCCAGAGAGGAGCCUCUCAAGCCACCCCAAGGCAGCUGAGCCCCAGCUCGCACCAGAUCACUGUGGAGCAGAACCAAUUUUUAAAUGUCUUCAUCUGGUCCCUCCUACUUUUAUGGUGCUCUGGGGGUGGUGAGAAUCGGGAUGCACUGAAAGCUGCUGGGACAUCUGACUCUUUAUUUUCUUGGCUCUACGUGUCUUAACUCUGCACCAAUCCUCCCGACUGUGCAGAAUUUCACUUUGGAGAGCAGAGGCAAACGGAGAUUCACACAGAGGGGCAGGAGCCGUCAAUGCUGUCUAGUGAGAGGAGAGAAGAGGCAUUGUAAGUCCCCAUAGCACUGCUGUUGGGCUACCCUGCCAGUCAAUGCCACUUUUCCCACAGGCUCCAGCCUCAACUUCCCCUGGUGCAAUAUGAUGAUGGGAAGAAGGGCUCCUAAGAGGAAACUGAUUUAAGUAUCUCUGUUUUUCAGAAAACACUUCCAAUUGCUCUCUCAAGAAUGCGUUUCUAUUUCAUGAGUUGAUGUCAUAUUUUUAGGGGGAGGGAUGUAUGGAGAGAGAAAACUUUCAAAUAUCUGGAAAUCAGUGGUAUGAUGAGCCCUGUUCUCUGCUGCUCCAAGUACAAUACCAAAGCAUGUGGUGGAAGUGAUGGGACAGAUUUGGUUCCAUAUUAGAACUUCCUACUUGUAUGUUGAAUUUUAACGGAUGGCUGGGAGUAACAUCCACUUUACGGAGGUAUAUAAGCAAGCUCCAGACAGUAACUUGGUAUGGAGACUAUGCCAAGGAUCCCAUUGUCAGAAGGGAAGUAUGGUGUUGGGGAAGGAUAUUUCUCCCUCCCCUCCCCAUAGUGCCAUCCUCUGCUUAUAGAGGAGGAAAUAGCUACCCAAGCUUUAGCCCCUCCCGCUGCCCUAUGGAAGGAAUACAUUCCACUCUGAACUAAAGCUGGCAUCUUUGGUGCCACAUUUUAACAGAGGGUCGAGUUACUGUAUCUUGAGAAAGACAUGGGUACGUCAUGCUUCCUUCCACUAUCUGUACCCACUCAAAGUGAAUCGUUCCCCACUGUUCUCUUUAAAUUUUUGCUUCAUGUAGCAGAGAUUCAGGGUCUCGCUCCCCUUCUCCUCCUGACACAAAAGGCAGUCAGACUGAACAGUGGGAUAAGCCCUGAAGAUGGCUGGGAACAGCCACCGGUGGAAAGGGAACCCUUCUUUGCUGCCUUUCUCAUUGCCCCAGCACUGCUAAGUGCAGCAGAUUGGCCUUUUUCACAUUGCAGGGAUGAGAUCCUCAGGAUUUGAGAGGGUUCAUCUGGCUUCCAGGAUUAAACUGUGUUUUCAAAUCGAUCUUUUGACAAAGCCCAACAAUAGAGUUAUUUCUGUUUACCCAUGCAUUUCUAUUAACCCAAGGUGGUGCCUCCUUUCCCACUCAGCUAUCAAUCUUUGUAUGUAUAAUCAAACCCCCAAAUAUAUCUCCAACCAAACUUUCACAACUACAGUGGCACACUCACACAGAGUGAUCUAAAUGGAACACGGGUUUUCUAUAACCACAACCAAACCAUAAACGGCAUUUUAUAUACAUUAUCAUCCAGAAAGCAAUCAGAUUUUUUCAUAGCAAAUGGUAAGAUAUAAUAAAAGGAAAUUUGAGAAUUAUCAUAUAACUUAUAAUGUCUCUUUUAGCCCUAAGGUCCUAAGAUUCAGUGACAUGUGGUGUUUUCUCUUUUUCCUACCACUUUUUCAGCUUAAUUAUUAUCUACAGAGAUUAAAAACACAACUAAAAUUUCUGCAGAUUCACAGUGCUAUUUCAGAAUAGAUUUUACCCCUUAGUACCUUCUAUUUAAUCAAUUAAUGAGAAUACUUUGGAGCCCACUGCAGAAACUAUAAAUUCCAAAUGGUUCCUCAGAACAUGUCAUCAUCAAACCAGUUAGGCUGGCGUUGGUAAAUACCACAGCCUGCAGUUGCCAUGUGUUACAAAAACAAUAAACAGAUACCCUUCAUACCUCUCCCUUCCCUAAAACAAUUAUUCCUAUAAAAGUCUGUCUCUCCAGAUUUUUUGUUGUGGUGUUUCUGAUACCAGUACAAUCAGAAAGUAAUGAAAGUGUUCACUGAAAGGAAGUUUUCACUGAGCAUUGCAGGCCAAUGAGAAUGCAGAUUAACUCAAAUAAACUUUGGAAUGCCAGCCAAACCCAUGAAACUUGUCAGCAGUUCAUCUACUGAGAGUGGUUAUGCUUUUUCAGUAGUACCUUAUCCUGAAAUAACCUGAUGGAAAAGCCAGUGUCGGAUGACACAUGACAUCAAGUGUUCAAUGCAAAUUCUGCUGGCAUACUAUCCUGUUUGACUCCCUUGCUCUUGAGCCUUCCACAGUUGGUAAUAAGGAACUGAGUACCUUUGCAAUCUCCAGUAAAACAUGUGUGAUGGAAAUGUAAUUCCUUAGGGAAGCAAUUCCCAAUGGCAUACAUAGAUUUGAUUUUUGGGUUGAAAAGUAGUAAAUGACGAAUUGAAGUUUCUUUUUCUCUACUUAAAAACUAUUCUUGACAUUAAUUUUACUUGUAUUUGUUAACCAGUUUACAUUUUAUUUUGUUACUGAGACACUCAAAAGUGUCUAUAUUUUAGUCAAAGCUAAAACUGAAAGACUUUAGCAAAUUGACUUUUCUCUUUCUCCCAACAAACAUUAACUCAGUAUUUUACCUAGCUUUAUUUUCAAAUAUGGAGUUUUAUAGCACCUUGAUUUAUAGCUGGGCGUAAGAAAAGGUUAUGUCAGCAUUUACAUUAUAAGGCCAUGGUUUUGUGGUUUAUAACUAAGCCAUAAAAAUAAUUCUGACUAAAAUUUGGAAUGCCAGUUUCCACCUUGAAACGCAAGUGUGUCCCUAGCUGUAUGACCACACACACACACACACACACACACACACACAUCAGAAUUCAACAACUGCUGUUUUGUAUAAUACAUUUAUUCAAUAUAUUGCUUUGAUUAAAAAUGAACUCAAAGAAAGUCAAGGCUAUGAAGUGAAUUCAAACAAAGCUGUCAUCUAAUGGUAACAACUUAUAUCCUAAGAUAUAUUUUAGUAGAUUUGAAAGUUGAUUUAAUGACAAAAGAAUUUACUGUAUAGUUUUCAUAGUUAAAGAAUAAAGGACAGAAAGAUGAAGUGAGACCUCCACACACAAAAAAAUAGCCUUUUCUUAAUAAGAAAUGUUUGCAACAUUCUUCCACGCUGUAUGGUAGAUAUUCUCUGAAUCUCUUUGCAGAUGUGAUCUAACGUCCUUGAACACAUUUAUUACAAUCCAUCAUCUACAUGGCAACAGUCAGGGCCAUGCUCAUAAACCAGAACUGGUGCUAGAUCUGGUAAGUCAUUAAGCAAACAUAUUCCUGUGUUGUGCGUGGCGUGCAUGCCCACUGCCUGCCUAUAAAACGGAAAUAAGAUUUCUGAUUUGCAAAUUACCUCCUAAGACAUGUAAAGCUAGCUCCUUUAAUCCACAUUACUCAUUUUUGUAUUUUGACUGUUUCAAAUGCUAAAACAGACCUGAAUACAGUUUCCACAGUUCUCUUUAUAAUUAUUGUAUUUUUCAUUUACAUGAUCAUGAAACCUGUUAGCAAGUGAGAAACAGAAUCAUUUUCACUGAGACAAAAAAUAUUGAGAAUUAGGGGGAGAAACUCUGAAGCAAUAUAAACAACAGAGUCUAAUCUUAUCAAAGAGAGAAGGCAGUUGGUGAAUCUGAAAGAUCACUUACUUACCACUCAAUCAUAGAACUUAUACCCCCAAAUAGGAUUUAAGAAAGAAAAAAGCAAUUUAGUAGGAACUGGAAGUUAUAGGGCAUAGGUCUGCUUUAGUUGGUGACAAAAAUUAUGCCUCAGAGGUUAAGAGCAUGGAUUAGGGUGCUGGGUUGCCUGGUUUAAAUCCUAGCUCUGGCACUUACUACUGCAUGGUCCUUGACCAGUUAUUUAACUACUCUGUGCCUCGGCUUCCCAGUGUGGAAAGCAGAAAAACAGUAUCUCCCUUACAGAGAGGCUUUAAAGUUUAAAUGCAUUAACAAAGGGAAAAUCCUUUCAAUGUUGACACAUCAUGAGUGUGACAUAAGUAUUACCUAUUAUUUUUAUUAUGUGACCAAAUGUGGAAGAAAAAUUCUAUAAGAAAGUAGUAACAUUGUUUAGUCUUUCAAAAAUCAUAUAUUCUCCUCCAAUCCUGGCUCUCUGCAAUUCAAGAAAUCCUAACAAAUAGAAAACCUUUGUACACAGGAGAAAACGGAGAUGAGCAAAGGCAAUAUUUGGCUUAUUUGUUAUAACCCUAAUAAAACAAGACUGCUUGAAGAAAUAGACCAAAUUGUGGAAUGUUUAACAUUGAUCCAGGACUGGCUCUUCUGAGGAAAAGAUAUAAUAUUUAUCAUGUGGCCAAUUUUGUCUGUGAAGAUAAGGAGGAACUAAUCGGUCUCAACUUCAUGAUGUUGCUUAAAGGAGCAUAUAAAUGUACGAUCAUAAGUAUCCUUUAAAUGAAGGGGUUGGUUUUAUGACUGCAGAAGUGAGAAAGAGUAAGGUCAUUUAGCCUGAGCAACACAGCAAAACCUUGUCUCUACUAAAAAUUAAACAAAACAACCAAAAAAUCACUCAGGUGUGGUGGCGCAUGCCUGUGGUCCCAACUACUCAGGAGGCUGAGGUGGGAGGAUUGCUUGAGCCUGAGAGGUGGAGGUUGCAGUGAGCCUUGAUUGCGCCACAGCACUCUAGCCUGGGUGACAGAGCAAGACUGUCAAAAAAGGAAAGAAAAGAAAGAAAAGAAAAAGAAAGAAACUAAAACAGAAAGAAAAGAAAGAAAGAAUGGGAGAGAGAGAGGAAGGAAGGAAGGAAGGAGAAAGAAGA
rnacentral:lncRNA from 1 species